UACGUAGGGGGCUAGCGUUGUCCGGAUUCAUUGGGCGUAAAGCGCGUGUAGGCGGCCAGGUAGGUCCGUUGUGAAAACCCGAGGCUUAACCUCGGGACGCCGACGGAAACCAUCUGGCUAGGGUCCGGAAGAGGAGAGUGGAAUUCCCGGUGUAGCGGUGAAAUGCGCAGAUAUCAGGAAGAACACCGAUGGCGAAGGCAGCUCUCGUGGGACGGUACUGACGCUGAGACGC
rnacentral:rRNA from 1 species